rnacentral:piRNA from 1 species
UACUUUUCCUUCAGGGACCAGUGCCAUUCU